GUGCCUUUCACUACGGAAUAGCUUUUGGAAACGAAAGGUAAUACCGUAUACGCCCUCCGGGGGAAAGAUUUAUCGGUGAAAGAUCGGUCCGCGUUGGAUUAGCUUGUUGGUGAGGUAACGGCUCACCAAGGCGACGAUCCAUAGCUGGUCUGAGAGGAUGAUCAGCCACACUGGGACUGAGACACGGCCCAGACUCCUGCGGAAGGCAGCAGUGGGGAAUCUUGCACAAUGGGCGAAAGCCUGAUGCAGCCAUGCCGCGUGAAUGAUGAAGGCCCUAGGGUUGUAAAAUUCUUUCGCUUGGGAUGAUAAUGACAGUACCAAGUAAAGAAGCACCGGCUAACUUCGUGCCAGCAGCCGCGGUAAUACGAAGGGUGCUAGCGUUGUUCGGAAUUACUGGGCGUAAAGCGUGCGUAGGCGGGUUUUUAAGUCAGAUGUGAAAUCCCGGGGCUCAACCUCGGAACUGCAUUUGAAACUGGGAACCUAGAGACCAGGAGAGGUUAGCGGAAUACCGAGUGGAGAGGUGAAAUUCGUAGAUAUUCGGUGGAACACCAGUGGCGAAGGCGGCUAACUGGACUGGUACUGACGCUGAGGCACGAAAGUGUGGGGAGCAAACAGGAUUAGAUACCCUGGUAGUCCACACCGUAAACGAUGACAGCUAGUUGUUGGUGGAUUUAUUCAUCGGUGACGCAGCUAACGCAUU
rnacentral:rRNA from 1 species